UAAAAAAAAAACCAUAACGCAAAUUUACACCAACGAUAGGCUUAAUUUCCACCAAGCAUUACAUACAAAUUGAUCAAACAAAAAUGGAGAGAUUUCAAGGAUGCAUUAACAGAAAAUACUCCGAGAAAAUAACACACAAACACACCCCGAAGUCUUCCGUGAGAAGGAAUCACAAACCACCAUCACCGACGACAAUAGGGUGCACCUCCGUUGGCAUGGCUGCCGUUGGUUUUUCAUUGAGAGUUAAAUGGAAUUGAGAGUUCAGAAAUUGCCGCGAUGCUCCUGAAGUUCAUUCGAAGACAACACACACAAAACUAAGAAUCGGUAUUUCAAAUACGUUUUCUCGAUCACCCCGAACGCGGCCUUCACUUUGCUUCACGAGAAUUCCGACAACUCCUUCCUUCGCCUCGCUACGUCUGCUUCACCCUCACUGCAAUAGACCGUGAGGUGACCAUCUACGAUUUUGCUAACAUUCGACUGUAAAACAACAUUAAGAACCCGUUAAAAAGAAUGUGGGCAUCUGUGCUUCUGUUUUCUUCCCUUUUGUUUUGAUAGGAGGAGCUUCGGGGCUUGGAAAUGCAUAAAAACAAAAAAGCCAACAAGAAGGAAAGAAAGAAGAACCUGAUAGUUGAUGGCGAAUCAGUUCCGGUGUGAUCGUGGGUUGCACCGCUGCAAUGGGACGGUAAUUGAAAAGCCGGAAGAGAAAGGGGAAGUUGGCGGAGUGUGACCAGGGCGGAUUGCAAACCCUAGUAAGAUGGGCUGAAUUUUGAUUUUUGGUUGGACUAUGGGAGGGAUUAUGGCGGCUAAAAUCGUGCCAACAAAAUUGGGCAGGGGAAACCAUCUCAAUUGUCAAAGAAACAAAAUGAAAAAAAGUUGUGCUUAUUGAACAAUUAUAGCUAAUAUACAUCCAUAUACAUAUACAUGUAUACAACAUCGGCAUCUUAUAUAUUAAUAUGUAUUUAAAUUUUACAACAUAAGAUUGAGUCACGGGCUC
rnacentral:lncRNA from 1 species